rfam:Camponotus floridanus CamFlo_1.0_3.contig2436, whole genome shotgun sequence.
AAAACGGCCCUUUUCAGGGCCACCAAAAGACAUUGUACAUAGAAC